GAGAGAGAGAAGCUUCUCGAGUGUCGCGUAUUCUCGACUCCGUCUAAGUAAACUUGAGCGCGUUCGAAAUGUAAAAAUAAAUAUAUCUGGAAAGCUGAAAGGAUUAUUUUCAAAAAUAUAUACACACGUCAAUAAUAAUAACAACUUGUAGACGAAGUGAAUAUGAAUGGCAACAAGCUUCCCCUUUGCCAAAUGAAGAAGAGCGACAGGAAAUAAAAAUAAUUUAAAAAAUAAUAAUCGCGCACGCGAAAUAUGUAAGACGCGCUAAAAAAUUUAAUCGAAUAGCGAUUACUCGAAUUAAUGAAUGGAAUCUCAAUCGUACGUAAAAAGAGAUAGGAUCGAUUUCUCUGGAGUAUCAUCAAAAGCAUCGCCGCGUGCAAUUCACAGGGUCAGCGAUCGAAUGAACGCGUCGCUUUAUUUAUAUCGAUCGAAACGCACCGUACUCUCUCAGCGAUAAUAAUUGUGUUUGCCUGAUUCGUCUUGUCAAUUCAUUCCGCGCUUAAUCGUAAAAGUGAGACGCGCAACUGAUAACGGAGCAUGUAAACGGCUCAUCGUGACUCAUUUCGAAAAGUAGCAAUUGUUCGUCGCGAUAAGAACGUUGGCGCGUACGACCAAA